rnacentral:rRNA from 1 species
UACGUAGGCAGCGAGCGUUGUUCGGAGUUACUGGGCGUAAAGAGUGCGUAGGCGGUUUUCUAAGUUUGGUGUGAAAUCUCCCGGCUCAACUGGGAGGGUGCGCCGAAGACUGGAAGACUAGAGUGUGGGAGAGGUAAGCGGGAAUUCCUGGUGUAGCGGUGAAAUGCGUAGAUAUCAGGAGGAACACCUGCGGUGUAGACGGCUUACUGGACCACCACUGACGCUGAGGCACGAAAGCGUGGGUAGCAAACAGGA